rnacentral:rRNA from 1 species
UACGAGGGGGGCAAAUGUUGUUCGGAAUCACUGGGCGUAAAGGGAGCGUAGGCGGUUUUUUAAGUUAGGUGUUUAAUCCCGGGGCCCAACCCCGGACAGGCACCUAAAACUGGAAAACUUGAAUAGUGGAGAGGUCGGUGGAAUUGGGGGUGUAGCGGUGGAAUGCGUAGAGAUCCCCAAGAACACCAGUUGCGAAGGCGGCCGACUGGACACAUAUUGACGCUGAGGCUCGAAAGCAUGGGGAGCAAACAGG